UACAGAGGGGGCAAGCGUUAUUCGGAAUUAUUGGGCGUAAAGGACGCGUAGGCGGCCUGGCAAGUGGAAGGUGAAAUCCCUCGGCUUAACCGAGGAACUGCCCUCCAAACUGCUUGGCUUGAGUCCGGGAGAGGUGAGUGGAAUUCCCAGUGUAGCGGUGAAAUGCGUAGAUAUCGGGAGGAACACCAAUGGCGAAGGCAGCUCGCUGGGACGGUACUGACGCUGAGACGCGAAAGCGUGGGGAGCAAACAGG
rnacentral:rRNA from 1 species